UACUGCAUUGAGAGCUGACCUCC
rnacentral:piRNA from 1 species